CAAUUUUAAAAGUGUUGUGGCUGCAAAGACAAAAACUUAAAAACCAAACCCUGGAUAAGGUUAUGAUCCACGUGUGGCAGAAAAUUGCUGACCUGGCCUGACCCUCGGUCUCGGAGGGUGGUCCGCUCCAGUACCACGACCAUCAGUCCUUCUUUUUGGUGCCACCGGACCUUGCCUGCAGGCA